rnacentral:rRNA from 1 species
UACGGAGGGAGCAAGCGUUGUUCGGAUUUACUGGGCGUAAAGGGCGUGUAGGCGGUCUUGCAAGUCAGGCGUGAAAUCCUCUGGCUCAACCAGGGAACUGCGUCUGAAACUGCAAGGCUUGAGUGCAGGAGAGGAAAGCGGAAUUCCUGGUGUAGCGGUGAAAUGCGUAGAUAUCAGGAAGAACACCAGUGGCGAAGGCGGCUUUCUGGUCUGUCACUGACGCUGAGGCGCGAAAGCCAGGGGAGCGAACGGGAUUAGAUACCCCGGUAGUCCUGGCCGUAGACGUUGGACACUAGGUGUAGGAGGUAUCGACCCCUUCUGUGCCGAAGCUAACGCAUUAAGUGUCCCGCCUGGGGAGUACGACCGCAAGGUUGAAACUCAAAGGAAUUGACGGGGGCCCGCACAAGCGGUGGAGCAUGUGGUUCAAUUCGAUGCGACGCGAAGAACCUUACCCGGGCUUGACAUGCACCGGAUUGGUGUGGAAACACGCCUUCCCUUCGGGGCUGGUGCACAGGUGCUGCAUGGCUGUCGUCAGCUCGUGCCGUGAGGUGUUGGGUUAAGUCCCGCAACGAGCGCAACCCUUGUCCUUAGUUGCCAUCAGGUUAUGCUGGGCACUCUAGGGAGACUGCCGGUGAUAAACCGGAGGAAGGUGAGGAUGACGUCAAGUCCUCAUGGUCCUUACGUCCGGGGCCACACACGUGCUACAAUGGCCGGUACAAAGGGUCGCAAUGCCGCGAGGUGGAGCCAAUCCCAAAAAACCGGUCUCAGUUCGGAUUGGAGUCUGCAACUCGACUCCAUGAAGCUGGAAUCGCUAGUAAUCGCGAAUCAGCAGGUCGCGGUGAAUACGUUCCCGGGCCU